UCCGGUGGUUAAGCCAAGGGGUUCCACCUGUUCCCAUCCCGAACACAGAAGUUAAGCCCUUGUACGCCGACAAUACUUGGCUGGCGACGGCCCGGGAAGAUAGGUAGCUGCCGGAU
rnacentral:rRNA from 1 species